rnacentral:rRNA from 1 species
UACGGAGGGUGCGAGCGUUGUCCGGAAUCAUUGGGCGUAAAGGGCGCGUAGGUGGCGCGACAAGUCAGUGGUGAAAGUUCGACGCUCAACGUCGAAUCGGCCACUGAUACUGUUGGGCUUGAGCACUGUAGAGGCUAAUGGAAUUCCGGGUGUAGCGGUGGAAUGCGUAGAGAUCCGGAAGAACACCGGUGGCGAAAGCGGCUUCCUGGACCAGUACCGACGUCAGGCACGAAAGCGUGGGGAGCAAACAGG